UUGUUUUCACACUCUAUAGUUCAUACCUAAUUUUUCUCAUGGUGUUUUAGAGGAUUACUAGUGUAUAAGCUUCAGGGUAAGAAAAGUGCAUGGCAUGGCGAUGGAAGGGCCAGAAUUCAUGAACAUCGACACAUCAUGGAAAAAGAAAUUUGUGAAUUUGGCAGUUAUUUGUUGGUUGAUGGCGAGGCCGCUCUGAAUAAAGCGAUUUCAGAGCUUCGAGAAUACA